UGCCAGCAGCCGCGGUAAUACGGAGGGGGGUAGCGUUGUUCGGAAUUACUGGGCGUAAAGCGCGCGUAGGCGGACUGGAAAGUUGGGGGUGAAAUCCCGAGGCUCAACCUCGGAACUGCCUCCAAAACUCCCAGUCUAGAGUUCGAGAGAGGUGAGUGGAAUUCCAAGUGUAGAGGUGAAAUUCGUAGAUAUUUGGAGGAACACCGGUGGCGAAGACGGCUCACUGGCUCGAUACUGACGCUGAGGUACGAAAGUGUGGGGAGCAAACAGGAUUAGAUA
rnacentral:rRNA from 1 species